GGCGCUAUAGCCAAGUGGUUACGGCGACAGAUUAGAACCUUGGUGAUAUUUGAUCUGUUCCUCUUUGAGGGCGCAGGUUCGAAUCCUGCUGGUGUGG